rnacentral:rRNA from 1 species
AGAGCGAACGCUGGCGGCAGGCUUAACACAUGCAAGUCGAGCGGGCGUAGCAAUACGUCAGCGGCAGACGGGUGAGUAACGCGUGGGAACGUACCUUUUGGUUCGGAACAACACAGGGAAACUUGUGCUAAUACCGGAUAAGCCCUUACGGGGAAAGAUUUAUCGCCGAAAGAUCGGCCCGCGUCUGAUUAGCUAGUUGGUGUGGUAACGGCGCACCAAGGCGACGAUCAGUAGCUGGUCUGAGAGGAUGAUCAGCCACAUUGGGACUGAGACACGGCCCAAACUCCUACGGGAGGCAGCAGUGGGGAUAUUGGACAAUGGGCGCAAGCCUGAUCCAGCCAUGCCGCGUGAGUGAUGAAGGCCCUAGGGUUGUAAAGCUCUUUUGUGCGGGAAGAUAAUGACGGUACCGCAAGAAUAAGCCCCGGCUAACUUCGCGCCAGCAGCCGC